CGGCUAACUACGUGCCAGCAGCCGCGGUAAUACGUAGGCGGCAAGCGUUGUUCGGAAUUACUGGGCGUAAAGGGUGUGUAGGCGGUUCUCUAAGUCCGGUGUGAAAUCUCCGGGCUCAACUGGGAGGGUGCGCCCGAAACUGUAGGGCUUGAGUGUGGGAGAGGAAAGUGGAAUUCCCGGUGUAGCGGUGAAAUGCGUAGAUAUCAGGAGGAACACCUGUGGUGAAGGCGGCUUUCUGGACCAGUACUGACGCUGAGGCACGAAAGCUUGGGGAGCAAACAGGAUUAGAUACCCUGGUAGUCCACGCCCUAAACGAUGCAUACUUGGUGUGGGC
rnacentral:rRNA from 1 species